rnacentral:lncRNA from 1 species
UUAAUUUGCUUAGGAAUGGAUGCAUGCUUGUUUUGAAUUAUUAAUCACCGCGAUUAAAACUAUCUAAUUGUCUUAGUGAUUCACAACCAUUAGGAUUUUUAGACAAGUAAUUUGAUGCAAUUUCUGUUGGAACAUCACCCUAAAAUUGAGGAGGGCUUCUUGUGAUUAGUAAUUGUAAGUUCACUUAAGGCGAACAUCACGCUCUUAAGGGUUGCAUGUUUUUCAAAGGGUUUUCACAAAACCUAAUGAGUCUUACAUGUUUAUAUUUGACCUGAACAUCACAGAUGGAUUGCAUGUUAGAUAUACAUUUUCGCUUGAACAUCAUGAGGAAAAUAUGCAUUAGGAAAACCUAAUGUGACAUGCCAUCCCAAAUUUUACAUUUUUAUAAAUUUUAAAAGUGUGACUUUACGAAAAUGCCUUUAGAGGCGAGGGUCUUGACUUCCGUUGACCAACGUAUAGC